CUCCUCCACUUCAACUUGUGUCCUGUGAGGAGCUGGAGAAGCAGGAGUGCAAACCGGUCCCCAGAAGAGGAAAACCGUUGUCAGUGACACCCUGAGGCUACGAGGCAUUUUUGACCUAGCCAGAGCCACUGGAGGAGGAUGGAAUUCCCUCCCCAUGGGAGGGUUCUGCAGGAAUCCAAGUCUCUCAGCCUAAAGAGCAGGAAUCAAGACCCAUCUGUUUUCCCCAGGCCUCUCUUUGGUGGGGAAGCAUAUGUUCCUUGAGGGCACUUAGGGAGAACAAUGCUCCUUGCUAUUCCUUUGAGUUCCAGAGGUCACGAAUCCGGGAAGCCGACUGCAACAGAUUUCCUUCACGUUGCUUGCUUGUUUUUUUCCAAAUGGACUCGGUGCAACAUUCCUGGAUAAGAAGCAGCCAGGGAUUUGGGCCUAUGGAAUUUUAAUGGCCAGUAUUUAUAGCUGCAAUAUUCUCAGUUUGCGGCCCGCCACUAGAAGCACCAUCAAAAUCCUUGGGUCAGAAAAUGAUCCUCAUUGUCAUAAUGUAUAAGCAGUUGUGAAACACCGAUAAACCUGGGAGGCUGCAUUCAGUCCUGUAGAAAAGACACAUUAGCCAGAUUUCUGGACCCCU
rnacentral:lncRNA from 1 species